AUAAAAAAAAUUGUAAUUAUUAUUAUUAUACUAAGUACAUUUAUUUUAUUAUUUUUUUAUUAUUUUCUCUUGAGAGAUAACAGAUUUGCUUUUGUCUGUCACAAAAAUGCUGUCGGUACCUUUGCUUGCGAUAUUGUGCACCAGCGUCAUACUUUACCAUUAUUUCACCAACCAUGUAGCUCUGGACUUCUAAAUAUAGUGUGCAUAGGAAAUGGUCAGGUCAGGAUGAAAAAUGAACUACUGCAUGAAAGGGAUCUUUUCAGCAAGGUGGCCUACCUCCCACAAGAAACAGGUGGUUUUGUCCUCAUGCCCCUUCGCCAUGGUCUGCAACAUAAAUAAAGGUUGGAUUUUCUUACUCUUUUAAUUAGAUCCUUGCAGGACCCUUUACCACCUGUAGGAUUUCUGCAUCUUUCACAUCACAGUGUGUCACAUCACCUGCAUAUCCCUUCUCAAUGCUUACAUGAAACUCCACUGGCCUCUCCCUCUCUUAUCUUAAUACAGUACACUUCUUCCAAUGAAACCCUCACUCCCUUUUGCACAUAUCCAAACCUGCUCAGUCUAAAACCACUUGCUUUAACCCCCGAUUUAACCUGAGGUGACCUGCUAAUGUAGUCAAUAGUGAUGUUGUCAUUUCUAAUUAGAAUUGUCACAAUCAUUUCUGCCAACUACAACUACUUUCCUCUUCUAACAUGUCAAUUGGUGAUUUGUUAAUAACGGUUUGUCAUUUUCUAUGCCAUUGCACAUUAGAAUAUGGCUGUCUGUUUAAGCAGUUGUUGUAAAGAAACAUGUCCUUUCCAGAUCAAGUACACAAGGGCUGUUUGGAAGGAGGGUGAACAAGAGGAGGAGGGUGUAGUACCUGACAACUGGAUCAACAGAAACAAGAGAAGUGUCAGGUGGCCACACAGCAUGAGCAUCACAAAAACCGAAAGAGCAUUAAAGAAAAAAAUUAACCCCGAAGAUGACUGGAUGACGUUUCCAUUGAUCAAGAUAAAAAUUACUUCAGCUAAGCGUCGUGAAUGCGAGAGCUACAACCUGACCAGUCAGGCUGAGGACGAUGAGGAGGACCAGGACUUGGCGACUAGAUCUAAAAGGAGCUGCGUUAAAAAAGGAACACCAGAGGGUUUUGUUAGAAGCGAAUUAACAUCUUCAGAUGAAGAAGAGAGCAUCAGAGGCGUCAAGCUGCCCAACUACUCUGCAGCACCCAGGAAACUCCAAUCCAUUCACAACGCCGACAUAUUAAACAAUGUUUGUGAGUACUUAUGAGACAUGGCCUGAAAUGUGCACCGCGAUGACGCCUCCAGGUCUAGGUCCAGGCACUGCGAUGACGCCUCCAGGUCCAGGUCCAGGCACCACGAUGACGCCUCCAGGUCCAGGUCCAGGCACCGCAAUGGCGCCUCCAAGUCCAGGUCCCGCAAUGGCGCCUCCAAGUCCAGGUCCCGCGAUGACGCAUUCAGGUCCAGGUCCAUGCACCACGAUGAUGCCUACAUGUCCCGGCACCUCGAUAACUCCUUCAGAUUGGGCAAUGGAAGGUGGGCACUCCCAUUGCCUCCGGCUGUGUUCCAGAAAAAGGUGUUAAACUUGCUGAUGGAACUUCGCGAUCAGCAUAAACGAACACAACCCAUCUCUUCACGUUGAGAGAAUGGUGACCAUCGAGGAUUUAGAGAGAGAGGAGGAACGUCUCUGUGAUCCAAAAGCCUUUGAUGUCUUGGUGCUGCAAAUUGCCAGAAUCGGAGGAAAGAACACAAAGGACUGUGUCCACAAAGUUCUUGAUAGGCUCUUCACCAACGCACUGAUGGCUAAAUUCAAUAUGAAGGGGAAGGGAAAACAAGGCAAGAGAUCUUAGGAGAAGACAAAGGUUUAUGGAGCAAUAAAAGAUGGAAUCAUGACUGGUGAUGAAGCAGCCACAGAAGACAUCAUAAGGAUCCAUGCAGCAGAGCAUCUCAAACAUGCACUGCAGAGAAGUGGAGGACACAAACCAUCACUCAAGACUGAUUAGGGCUGUGGGAUUUUAUAUUUUUAUUUGGAUAUACUUUUUUGGUUGUAAAAAACGGUGUUAAUAUGAAACUUAUUCAUCUGUGAGUCCAAUUUAAAAAAAGUUGCAUAGGGAUGUUCUUUUUUAUAUUUGAUGUGUGGUACAGACCUAUGUAUGUAAAUAUUUUUGUUUUGCAGCCAAUAGGCUACCUGUAAAAAAAUAAAGAGUAUAACUUUAAAUGAGUGAUGACUUA